AGGUUACUGUGUGGGAACAGAGGAAAGUGAAUAAAGAUUCAUCCUGAUGAGUGAGGGACGCCCUGUCCUUUGUGGCACUGGAACAUCAUGUACCCCAAAUGUUUUGAGACUCUUAACUUGGAGUCUGGAGUACCCUGAAAUGUUCCCCUGGAUGAGGAAUUGCUCUGAUGGUUUGCUGAUUGAAAACACAGGCUCACACACAGAUUUUUUUAUUGUUGUUCAUGACUUCUCAGAACCUUUAUUAUGGGAAAUGUUAAAGAGAAGCCACAAUAGACUCCAUUUUCCUAAGCACAUCUAAUAUGAAAUAGUGUUCAUCUUGAAUUUCCUGGGUUUCUAGUCAGCUGUAUGGCAGACUCACUUCCCAAAAGACAUGGGGAAAGAUAUCUCUGUGUUACUUCCCAGGAGACAGGGAAGGAUCUCCCUGUGCUACUCACUUCCCAGGAGACAGGGAAGGAUCUCCCUGUGUCAGUCACUUCCCAGGAGACAGGGAAGGAUCUCCCUGUGCUACUCACUUCCCAGGAGACAGAUCCUCCCAUGCCCAGCCUCUGGGCUGCACAGGAACUUUACCUGUUGGCGCGUUUUAGGUCAUUGACAAACUCUGCUGACUGCUGGUGUCUGAUCUCACUGCUUUUGGUGAGUCUUUCCAAGGCGCUGACCAGCUCUUGAACUCUGGCCUUGAGUUUCUUCUCCCUGUAUCAAAGAGAGGCAGCGUAGCCAUCAGCAGGUGCUGGUGGGAAGGAGGCAGGGUAGCUGGCCAAGGGUCGGGGUCCAGAGCGGAAAGGUGAGUGGGCUGAGGAGCACAGCUCGGCUCUGCUCAGCCAGAAUGAGCAUUUCUCAAAGACUAACGAAGCCUGCUUCUUCAGCGAGCCUUGGAGAUCUUCAGUGUAUGCCCCAUGGAAGAAGACAGGAGUUGGUGCUACUGGCAGAUAUCCUUCACUCAUGACCACAAACUCUCACUGCCCACGUAUCUAAGCAACAGCUCCCGGUUCCAUGCCUAGAUUGCCUAGUUCUUGCUCAUUUAACAGACAAUACGGAAACAAAAAUGGUGGUAUUGGAGAAAGGAAUCGAAAUGACAUUCGUUUCAUCGUAAAAGUCCUCAUUUCUCAGUAAAGUACUUAAAUUUCAUUUGCACUCCGAUUGGACUCCAUGCGCUCAUUACUACUGUGAUGGUUCAUGCUAGCUGAGAGAGGGAAGCAGGCAGGGUGUUUUCCACAGUCCCGGCAGGUACUGAUGUCUUAGUGCUUCCCUGAUGCCACGUAGAUAGAUGGGGUCGCUGUCAUAGUGGACUUGGCAGUACAUUGUGUACCUCCCCUCACUGAGUUGGUUCCCUGCACCAGCACCUGAGCACUAUGCCUCAUUGGUAACUUGAGGGCUGCCUGAGUCACAACUACUGUUCUUCAAGCUUCUUGAGAAUUCAGGGUGUAGAAAAAGGAAUUACUCUAAAAAGGACUUCGUGGGAAGACUACAAAUCACCCUCAUGAAUCUGUGCCUGCUGGCAGUAGUUGUAUCCAAAAUACUAGCAGAAGAUGCACACAUCCCUUUGACUAAGCAAACUGAUUUUUAGAAAUACCUUUAAAUACUUGAGCCUGACACCCGGAGGUGUAUUUGAAGCUGGAAUCAUUUUGGCUUGCAUUACAAUAAUGAAGGAUAGACAGACUGGCAAGUUGGCUCUGUGGGAAAAAGCACUUGCCACCAAACCGAGCCUGCCGACCUGAGUUCCAUCUGAGACUCCAGAGUGGGAGGGAAGAACUGACUCUGGAGUUGUCUUCUGACCACUGCAGCCUACUGUGGUGUGCACACGCAGAGAUCGGGGAGUGCCUGAAUUCAUCAGGAUCUCUCGGUGCUAUUGAAAUGCCUGUCGAUAAAUCUGCCUAAAUGCAGGCAGAUCAGCAUGCACUGACAUGGAAGGAUAGAACAUUGGUUUAUAAGAACAACCAGAAAUGGGUUGUAUUGUGAUGAUAUACCAAAAAAGCAACCACAGAUUUAGCAGUGGUUGGGGAAGGGGUCAGCAGAAGGCUUUGCAGUUUCACUCAUUUUUGCAUUGUUUGAACAUUUUUGUAUGGCAUGUGAGCAAGCACAUCGCAGAACCCAGGCUAGGUAGGGUUUUCUGGUCUCACUCAAUGCUGAAUGGCUUCAGAGACACUUAGAAUGCUUGGAAAGGGAGGAGAGGCAAAAAACCAAGGUGGCUGCACCCACUGCCACCUCAGGGUAGGGGAGAUUACUUCCUGUGUGGCUCUGACCCCCCAUCUUCCCUUCCUGAGCCCUCUGGUAUCUAACCAUUUACAUUUCAGCUAUCAGGGCAACAUGACUUGUCCAGACUGGUGACUGGUAACUCCACACAAAACCCCAAGGGAGAAAGCCCAGCAACCAGCCUGUGCUAUGGGGACUCAUUCUUCACUAGGUCCUUCCACUUGCCUUACUUAGCUACAGGAUAGCUGGCCACAAGGCAGGCAGGAAUGAGGGUACACAUCUCCCCCCGAUGGGGAACAUGUCUGUGUAUACGUGUGGUGUGGUGUGAAUACAGAGGUCACAAUGCUGAUUAACUGUACAAAAGGGGAAGAACAACUUGUGAAGAAAACUAAAAAUCGAAUCAAUUCAAAGAAAUUCACAACAAAAAUCUUCUACAGAGAUACCAUUGCUAGCUCCAUCUUUUCCUACCUGCCACCAACAAAGGGACUUCCUUCCCUAGCAAGUGUUCUCACAGACCCAGGAGACUUUAUGGACCUAGUAAACUCUACAGUAGGACAGACCACCCAAACAAA